rnacentral:pre_miRNA from 1 species
UUUAUACUCCCUCUGUCCAAAAAUACUUGUCGGAGAAAUGGAUGUAUCUAGACAUAUUUUAGUUUUAAAUAUAUUCAUUUUUAUCCAUUUCUCUGACAAGUAUUUCCGGACGGAGGAAGUACUAU